rnacentral:rRNA from 1 species
UACGUAGGGCGCAAGCGUUAUCCGGAAUGAUUGGGCGUAAAGGGUCCGCAGGUGGCCCGGUCAGUCCGCUGUCAAAGCCUGGGGCUCAACCCUGGAGAGGCGGCGGAGACCACCGGGCUUGAGUCCGGUAGGGGCAGAGGGAAUUCCCGGUGUAGCGGUGAAAUGCGUAGAGAUCGGGAAGAACAUCGGUGGCGAAAGCGCUCUACUGGACCGCAACUGACACUCAGGGACGAAAGCUAGGGGAGCGAAUGGG